CGCUCAUCGCAACGUAAGCACUUGGAUUUGGACAUUUAUCUAACUUCAUUGUAUCCACUUGAAAUUCUUUUGGCACCCGUCGCCAAUUUUGCGCAUCGAAGUAGUAAUACGUGCCACGUUCCGUUGUGCCAUUCUUCUCGUACGGUGUCAUGCCCGGCACACGGGUGAUCCACACCUUCUCCUCCGUGUGGUAUCGCCAAUCUCGACUAUGUCUGCAAGAGCGCAGCUCGUGCCAUCCCAAUGAUUACUAAACCGAACACAAGUUAGCAGCACAUUAUCUCACCGAUCGAUAUACAGUACUAUGUAGUACCAUUACAGUACCAUUUUUUAAAAUCGUUUAAAUCAGCAGCGUGCUUCGUGACUCCACAAGUAUCAAAAAUUUUGAAAGAAAUAAUAUUAACCACAAGAUUUAAAAAGAAUCUUUAUUUGCAUAUAGAAUGAAUUUCUAUUAUUUCGAUCACCACUGUAAAUAGGAUAAACGCAAAUAACUGCUGUCAAACUUUUCUAUCAAAUCAUAAACAUUUGAAAAUAUUCUCUAAAAGGAACGCAUAAUGAAUAACUACGACAAGCAACUGCAUAAAGCGAUGGAUCAAAUUCAAAGAAUGACUAAUCGAGCCUUGGAACUGCGAGUUGCAAUCGGCGAACUGACAACCCAACUGGUGCUGGCAAACAGAGUCGAAUACCUGGAGGAAAUUCAUCGUUUCCGAGAGUCUCAACGGCUGGCUGACAGCCCGGCGCCCUUCAGUAAACCCCGAGCCCCAGGAGUUGAUGACCAACUUAAAUAAUAUCCAAUCAACCAUUUGAAAGAAAGUAAAGAAUAAAGACGACCGGAUAGAAUUUUACUGAAUCAGAAAAUUGUUUAAUUUUUUCAUUUUUUCCAUCUGCUUCUUGUUUUUCUGCAUUUUUUUCCUUUUUAAUUACAAAUUAAUAAAUAUUAUACAGGCUGUCCGCUCAUCGCAACGUAAGCACUUGGAUUUGGACAUUUAUCUAACUUCAUUGUAUCCACUUGAAAUUCUUUUGGCACCCGUCGCCAAUUUUGCGCAUCGAAGUAGUAAUACGUGCCACGUUCCGUUGUGCCAUUCUUCUCGUACGGUGUCAUGCCCGGCACACGGGUGAUCCACACCUUCUCCUCCGUGUGGUAUCGCCAAUCUCGA